GCGGAUGUGGCGGAAUUGGUAUACGCGCACGUUUGAGGGGCGUGUGGCGCAAGCCUUGCGAGUUCGAGUCUCGCCAUCCGCA
rnacentral:tRNA from 5 species